rnacentral:rRNA from 1 species
UACGUAGGGUGCGAGCGUUAAUCGGAAUUACUGGGCGUAAAGCGUGCGUAGGCGGUUUUGUAAGCCAGAUGUGAAAGCCCCGGGCUUAACCUGGGAAUGGCAUUUGGGACUGCAAGGCUAGAGUGCGGCAGAGGAGACUGGAAUUCCUGGUGUAGCAGUGAAAUGCGUAGAUAUCAGGAGGAAUACCGAUGGCGAAGGCAGGUCUCUGGGCUGACACUGACGCUCAUGCACGAAAGCGUGGGGAGCAAACAGG